CCUACGGGAGGCAGCAGUGGGGAAUUUUGGACAAUGGGCGCAAGCCUGAUCCAGCAAUGCCGCGUGAGUGAAGAAGGCCUUCGGGUUGUAAAGCUCUUUUGUCAGGGAAGAAACGGUUGGGGCUAAUAUCCUCAGCUAAUGACGGUACCUGAAGAAUAAGCACCGGCUAACUACGUGCCAGCAGCCGCGGUAAUACGUAGGGUGCAAGCGUUAAUCGGAAUUACUGGGCGUAAAGCGUGCGCAGGCGGUUUUGUAAGUCUGUCGUGAAAGCCCCGGGCUUAACCUGGGAAUUGCGAUGGAGACUGCAAGGCUUGAAUCUGGCAGAGGGGGGUAGAAUUCCACGUGUAGCAGUGAAAUGCGUAGAGAUGUGGAGGAACACCGAUGGCGAAGGCAGCCCCCUGGGUCAAGAUUGACGCUCAUGCACGAAAGCGUGGGGAGCAAACAGGAUUAGAUACCCUGGUAGUCCACGCCCUAAACGAUGUCUACUAGUUGUCGGGUCUUAAUUGACUUGGUAACGCAGCUAACGCGUGAAGUAGACCGCCUGGGGAGUACGGUCGCAAGAUUAAAACUACAAAUGAAUUGACGG
rnacentral:rRNA from 1 species